GUCUGGAAUGCCUAGGACAAGUUCCUUCUCACUGCCAGGCACAUGAAUUGGUGGGUGCUUCCUCUGUCCUGUUUACAAGUUCCUACUCUGUCAUCUGCUUCAAAGGGUGAAUUUUAUCCUAAAUCCUAAGUUAGGCAUUCUUUGUUCCAAAAGAAAUUAUUGUGCUGAUUAUUGCUCUUUAUUGCAGUGGUAUAAAACAGGAUGUCUCAGUAUAUUUGAGUAUUUGAGUGGAUUUCUUUCUGUUGAAUCUACAUUUCUUCCAAUUCAAUGUGGAAUUAGUCCCACUGAGUGUACUCACAGGAAUGUGGAUCCCUCUUGCAGCUGGUGAGACAAAAAUCUCAUAAAAGGUAAAUAUCCUGAGUGUUUUCAUAGAUGUGUGCUUUAAGAACUCAAUGUCUGUUGGUCCACUAGGAGCUACAACAAAAAUAAAGCAUAGUGAGGAUGGUAUUUUUGAAAGGGUUAAGGAAACAAGAGCAAAAUGUGUUGCUCUUAAUUCACUUCAACAAGUGUAUGCUUAAGAUUUUUCGUCUAAAUUUACCAUAGGUUGAUUUAAUCUUAGAAUCACUUUUGGUAAGUAUUUUAAGAAUAAGCAGGCAUUUAACACAUUUGUUUAAGCAUUCUCCAGGACACCUGAAAUUUGAAACACCCCCUUAAUCCUGUCACUCAUGACAAAGGGUAGUUACUUCUCUGCCUAAUUUUGUCCUGUUUUUGUUUGUACAGCAGAGAACAGACUAUAGAGAUCUAUUUUAAGGGGAAAUGCUAUAAUAUUGUCAUUCACUUACUGCUCGCAUGGCAUGAUAUUGCUGUUUGUGCUCUGUUGUUGUUAGUCUGCCAGCUUGGAUGUGAUAAUAAUCAUAACACAAGAUUUCAGCAAAAAGCCUACAAACCUUCAAGUCCCCAUUGUAUAUUAUUUGGAGAAGCUGUUUUGAUAUUUGUGUCUCAGCUUGCAUGAGCAAUAUCACAUUACUGGAAAUUGUGUUUUCCUACAAUGACUCCCACAGGUAAGGACUUUCUGCAGCAUCAAGAUUAUUUUGUUCAAUUUGGCACAGGUAGGUUUUGCUGCAGGAGCUUGUUAAACAUGAAAUAAGGCAAAGUUUCUGGUCUUGAAUCCAAAUUUUUCCUCAAUUCUGACUCUCCAGAUCCUGAUAUACUGCUUCUGACCUUUUCAGGCAGAGGAUGGCUGAGACCUGAGCAUAUGGAUCCCCUGUUUGAAUUAAAGUAAGAUAUCUUUGCUACUUAUGUGACAUGAAAGGAUACAUAGCUAUUACCAUUUUUACUUGAAAGUGAAUUAAAAUUCAAAUGCUUUGAAUUUAAUAAACAUCCCUGCUUAAAAUACUUAUCAUUUCUUGACCUGUGGGUCAUUACUGUCUAGACUGCUUCAGGUUGUUGCUGCUAUUUAAUUUAUAGAGGUUUUGAAAAGUUUCCUCUCUCUUUUUUACAAAUAAGGGAGAUUUGUUAUUCAUUGAUAGGAAGUGAAGAUGUUAGUUUUACCCUUCUGCUUUUAGAAAAAUUAUUUCUACUUAAUCAUUCCAUUUCUUUUUGUCUGAGUCCUUCAAAUAUGGCUCUAGGAAAACAUCCUGACAGAUUUAUUGAGAAGCAUUUUCCACUAAUGAAAAUAAAAGAAAAUAAUAAUUGAAACAAAGAAGUGCUUUACUGCUGUGCAUGCCCUGGGAUAGUGCCUAUCUCUGGAUUCAGCACUUCAGGAAUUGGCUAAUGACUUCGCAGGCCUUUGUAACAACCUCACUGGAAGAACUGUAAAUUAAAGAUCAAUGUGAUGUGGGCCAAUACAUAUAUAGAGGAGUGCUCCUGAGAAAACCAGCAGAAUUUUGGGUGCUGGCAUCCAAGGAGCUGCAGAAUCAGUGGAAGUUUUGGGCCUUGAUGUGGGCCUUGCUGGGAGGAAUCACGCUACAUAACUACUGCAUAAUGGAUCAUUUUUACCCCAGGAUUACAGAAGACUGGACUGGCUGGACUAAAGCAGAGUUCCAAAAUGUCACCUGGCCAGGAGUUGCAUUGUCCCCUGACUUCCCAUGUUGCUCUGUACCUUGGCAAAUGAGGACUAUAUCUUUUCCACUGUCUUCUAACUUCUCAGGUAUGGCCUUCCUGUGCAUGUGCAAACUGCAGCUAUCUGUGAAACACAGGAACACCUUCCCAAGCCCCUGUCCCAGUCUCUCUCACAUGUCAUUUCUGUAUCAGGAGCACAAAGGCUCAG